UGGGGUCAUCUGAUAUAUCAAAUUGAAGGUCUCAAUAAACUCUACUUAAAAAUGAAAAUUUUAAACCCCCUUUUCAUCCCAGGGGGACGGGUGGGGUCAUUUAGUGCAAACAUUUCAAAUUUCUCAGAUGGUAAGGUUGUCGCAUAUCAAAUGAAAGAACAUAAAGCGUACAUUUCAAAUUUCAAAUUGACGUCUCCCAAAAAUGGGUUGGAUGGGGUCAUUGAGUGCAAAAAAUAAAUUUUCUUUUAAGAUAGGGUUGUUGUAUAUCAAAUGAAAGGUCAUGAUGUGUACAUUUGAAAUAUCAAAUUCCCGACCUCCAAAAAUUAGUUGGAUAGGGUUAUUAAGUGCAAAAAUCAAACUUUCUAGAACAUGGCGUUGUCGCAUAUCAAAUGAAAGCUCAUCUACUCUAUGUUACAUAUAUCAUAAUUCCGAUCUCAAAAAUGUAGGCGGAUGAGGUCAUUAAGUGUAAAAAAGCGAAAAAGUUUCAGAAGGUAUGCUUGUCGUAUAUCAAACGAAAGGUCGUACAAAGUACAUUACGAAAACAUCACUUUUACAGGAAAGACCUUUCAAUUGUUUUACAAACAAUUGAGAUACUAGUUUUUUUUUUUUUUUUUUUUUUUUUUUUUUUUUUUUCAUCCAGCAUUUGUUUGACAUGGCCUCCCCUUGUUUCUAUUGA
rnacentral:lncRNA from 1 species